GACGAACCGUCCAAACGUUGUUCGGAAUCACUGGGCGUAAAGGGCGCGUAGGCGGCUGAUUUAGUCGAGGGUGAAAGCCCGUGGCUCAACCACGGAAUGGCCUUCGAUACUGGUUGGCUUGAGACCGGAAGAGGACAGCGGAACUGCGAGUGUAGAGGUGAAAUUCGUAGAUAUUCGCAAGAACACCAAUGGCGAAGGCGGCUGUCUGGUCCGGUUCUGACGCUGAGGCGCGAAAGCGUGGGGAGCAAACAGG
rnacentral:rRNA from 1 species